UACGGAGGGUGCAAGCGUUGCUCGGAAUUAUUGGGCGUAAAGGGCAGGUAGGUGGUCUUAUUUGUCAGGGGUGAAAGCCUUGGGCUUAACUCAAGAAGUGCCCCUGAAACGGUAAGACUAGAGUACUGGAGAGGUGAGUGGAAUUCCCGGUGUAGCGGUGAAAUGCGUAGAGAUCGGGAGGAACACCAGAGGCGAAGGCGGCUCACUGGACAGUCACUGACACUCAACUGCGAAAGCGUGGGGAGCAAACAGGAUUAGAUACCCCAGUAGUCC
rnacentral:rRNA from 1 species